UACGUAGGGCGCAAGCGUUGUCCGGAAUUAUUGGGCGUAAAGAGCUCGUAGGCGGCCUGUUACGUCUGCUGUGAAAUCCCGGGGCUUAACCCCGGGCGUGCAGUGGAUACGGGCAGGCUGGAGGCAGGCAGGGGAGAACGGAAUUCCCGGUGUAGCGGUGAAAUGCGCAGAUAUCAGGAGGAACACCAAUUGCGAAGGCAGCUCGCUGGAACGUAACUGACGCUGAGACGCGAAAGCGUGGGGAGCAAACAGG
rnacentral:rRNA from 1 species